CAGAGCCCACGGCGUGAACAAGCAAAUCAGCAAACACUGUCCUAGAGCUUGCUAGAGAAAGACACGAGAAGACGGAGAAAUGGCCACCUGGUGGAGCACCAGGGCACUGGAGACGCCCCGCCCUCUGAGACAGGGGCAGGUCACCAGCAGUUUGUUG